CCAUGGAACAUAAUAUGAGGCUUGAACUCAUGUCCCUGAGAUCAAGACCUGAGCUGAGAUCAAGAAUAGAACGCUUAACCGGCUGAACUACCCAGAUCAAAAUGAAAUUAAUAUACUUCGAGGCCACAGGAAGACAGUCACCAUAACAGACCAUAGCCCCAAAUGGCAUUUAUGAAUUCCCGUGACGGAUUAGAGGAUCCAUGUAUCAGAGAAUUUUCCAUCAUUUUGAGAAAUCGAAACACCCUUUCCCCUCGGAAAUUCAGUGCUUUGAGAGAGAGUGCACGUGCCUGUUGGGGGGCAGCACAGAGGAUGAAGGAGAGAGAGGAUCUUAAGCAGACUCCACGCUCGGCAUGGAUGUCACGCAGGCGCAAUCUCAUGACCCUGAGAUCAUGACCUGAGCUGAAAUCAAGAGUUGGAUGCUUAACUGACUGAGCCACCAUGGUUCCCCUGGGACUUCUUGAUCACUUAAAAAUUUAAAAAAAAAAAAUUAUUCUCUCUG